GACGAACGCUGGCGGCGUGCUUAACGCAUGCAAGUCGAACGGAAAGGCCCUGCUUUUGUGGGGUGCUCGAGUGGCGAACGGGUGAGUAACACGCGAGUAACCUGCCCUUGACUUUGGGAUAACUUCAGGAAACUGGGGCUAAUAACGGAUAGGAGCUCCUGCUGCACGGUGGGGGUGGGAAAGUUUCGGCGGUCGGGGAUGGACUCGGGGCUUAUCAGCUUGUUGGUGGGGUAGUGGCUUACCGCGGCGUUGACGGGUUGCCGGCCUGCGAGGGUGACCGGGCCCAAUGGGCAAGGGAUAGCGCCCGGGCGCAUACGUGGGGCAUGAACGAGGGAUUGUCGGCGCAGGGCGGCGGCCUGAUGCAGCAACGCCGCGUGCGGGAUGACGGCCUACGGGUUGUAAACCGCUUUCGCCUGUGACGAAGCGUGAGUGACGGUAAUGGAUAAAGAAGCACCGGCUAACUACGUG
rnacentral:rRNA from 1 species